rnacentral:lncRNA from 1 species
GCAUGUGGAAGCCAUUUACUUCAAACAGUGGUUCCAUGGCCAACAAGUGUGGAGGAAAACAGCCUUCUGUGGCUGAAGAACCAGGCCCAGUUUGCUGUACAGCUGCUGAGCCUGCCUUUUAUUAUCCCUCAACCUGAGACCCUCAUUUCACAACGACAGCUCACGAAGCCCGCUAUGAUCUAGCUCCAGGCCACAAAGCUGUGGCCCUGUGCCAGCUCCCAGGGUUCAGUCCGUUUCUACUCCUGAUGCUUUUUUUUUUAUUCUAUUUCUGCUGGGGUAUUUAUAGUGAACACAAAUCGAUCUGUCAUGAGUACAUUCAAGCACAUACGUUUUGCCUGGGUUGGUUUUUUAGGGCAGAUUCUAGGAACUUUUAGAAAGACGGUGGUUGGCACUUUUUCACCGUGGCAAAGCAUGGGAGGAAGGUAAACAGAGGGCUCUGCAGCUUUAAGAAGUGUGCACACAUGAACAGCUGGCAGUGGGCCAUUAGGCCAACAUAAACACUUCUAAUCCUUUUUCCAAGGAGCUUUCAACACUCAUCUCCCUGGCACAUCGGCCGUUGACUCACUCCCUGACAUUCCUGGCUGUUUGAAGUAGAGGAGAGCAGUCACCAGGCGGCACUGUGGCUCCAACAAUGGCCCCUGGUGCUGUUGAUCAUUAUUCACUGCAAAGAACUGCGGGCUGAGCUUCACCAAGUCUUGUUGACUGGAAAACCACAGAAGCAUGUGUGAUGAUUAUGGACAGGAAAUCCUGAUCCCAAGAAAUCCAUCAUCAUCACUGAUCUCUGUAUUGGGAAAGCAGAGCAGGGCUUGGUGUAAACACCCACAAAGAGGGCUUUCGCUGCCUUUCUUGUUCAGGUAAGAGGCUGCCUCAGCCCACAAUGCACUUCUGCCUAAAGCCUUCUGGACAGUAGCUAUCUUUUCACAGGGAGGAUUGGGAGGGUCUCUCUUUUCCCACAGAGGAAAC